rnacentral:lncRNA from 1 species
UCCAAGAACACUAUAGAAGCUUUUUAUGGCUUCCCCAAGUUUUGUAAGGGAGAACGAAGUCCCUAUGAGUUUUUUUCUUUUGCAUCUAUGGUACUUUAGCAGCUAGGUUCCAGGUUGCAUUUCUCUUUCUUAUACUCAGUCAUACACACCAAUCUUGUCAUAUUGGACUCCAAAAUCCCUACACAAGCUUAUUAUGGCUUCCCCAAGUUUUGUAAGUGAGGACGAAGUCCCUAUGAGUGUUUUUGUAUUCCAUCUACGCUACUUUAGCAAUCAGGAUCCGGGUUGCAUUUCCCUUUCUUAUACUCAGUCAUACACACCAAUCUUGUCAUAUUGGACUCCAAAAACCCUACACAAGCUUAUUAUGGCUUCCCCAAGUUUUGUAAGUG